GACGAACGCUGGCGGCGUGCUUAACACAUGCAAGUCGAACGGAAAGGCCCUGCUUUUGUGGGGUGCUCGAGUGGCGAACGGGUGAGUAACACGUGAGUAACCUGCCCUUGACUUUGGGAUAACUUCAGGAAACUGGGGCUAAUACCGGAUAGGAGCUCCUGCUGCAUGGUGGGGGUUGGAAAGUUUCGGCGGUUGGGGAUGGACUCGCGGCUUAUCAGCUUGUUGGUGGGGUAGUGGCUUACCAAGGCUUUGACGGGUAGCCGGCCUGAGAGGGUGACCGGCGACAUUGGUACUGAGAUACGGCCCAGACUCCUACGGGAGGCAGCAGGGGGGAAUAUUGCACAAUGGGCGGAAGCCUGAUGCAGCAACGCCGCGUGCGGGAUGACGGCCUUCGGGUUGUAAACCGCUUUCGCCUGUGACAAAGCGUGAGUGACGGUAAUGGGUAAAGAAGCAACGGCUAACUACGUG
rnacentral:rRNA from 1 species